rnacentral:rRNA from 1 species
GUACACUCCUGCGGGAGGCAGCAGUGGGGAAUUUUGGACAAUGGGCGAAAGCCUGAUCCAGCAAUGCCGCGUGAGUGAAGAAGGCCUUCGGGUUGUAAAGCUCUUUUGUCAGGGAAGAAACGGUGAAAGCUAAUAUCUUUUGCUAAUGACGGUACCUGAAGAAUAAGCACCGGCUAACUACGUGCCAGCAGCCGCGGUAAUACGUAGGGUGCAAGCGUUAAUCGGAAUUACUGGGCGUAAAGCGUGCGCAGGCGGUUUUGUAAGUCUGAUGUGAAAUCCCCGGGCUCAACCUGGGAAUUGCAUUGGAGACUGCAAGGCUAGAAUCUGGCAGAGGGGGGUAGAAUUCCACGUGUAGCAGUGAAAUGCGUAGAUAUGUGGAGGAACACCGAUGGCGAAGGCAGCCCCCUGGGUCAAGAUUGACGCUCAUGCACGAAAGCGUGGGGAGCAAACAGGAUUAGAAACCCCGGUAGUCCCA